CCUACGGGUGGCAGCAGUGAGGAAUAUUGGUCAAUGGGAGAGAGCCUGAACCAGCCAAGCCGCGUGAGGGAAGACGGCCCUAUGGGUUGUAAACCUCUUUUGUCGGAGAACAAAACCCGGGACGUGUCCCGGGCUGCGUGUAUCCGAAGAAAAAGCAUCGGCUAACGCCGUGCCAGCAGCCGCGGUAAUACGGAGGAUGCGAGCGUUAUCCGGAUUUAUUGGGGUUAAAGGGUGCGUAGGCGGUCCGUUAAGUCAGCGGUAAAAUUGCGGGGCUCAACCCCGUCGCGCCGUUGAAACUGGGAGACUUGAGUUGGCGAGAAGUACGCGGAAUGCGCGGUGUAGCGGUGAUAUGCAUAGAUAUCGCGCAGAACUCCGAUUGCGAAGGCAGCGUACCGGCGCCAGACUGACGCUGAGGCACGAAAGCGUGGGGAUCGAACAGGAUUAGAUACCCGAGUAGUC
rnacentral:rRNA from 1 species